UAUUUUAGUAAAAUUGAUAACAUUGUUAGAGUCUAUAAAAUUCAACUUCAUCGAAAACCCUAGCAGCCGCUCCUGUUCAAUCAAUUUCACUAUGCAUUGGUAUAUGCAUCUAUUAUUUUCAUCUUUCAUCCAAUUCAUAGUUGUAAUUGAACUCUCACAUGAAUUUUUUGCUCACUCCCCUUGCAUCCUUUCUAAUAAAAUAAAGGGAUUUUCUAGUUCAAGGCCUAAGUGAAAGAUUUGAUGGAACAACUCUACGGAAUAUCGCCACAAAAGAUACUAGCCAGGGUGUCCAGCACGAUAGUUGAUUCUAGCAGAUACAUUCCCAUUGGAUCAUUGGUGAGAUCUUGGAAUCCAGAUCGCCUCUAGUCCAUAUUUCAAUUACAGUAUUUCCUGUACUGGAAAACUUAAACUGUGUAUUUAGACUCAUAUUUGUAUUUAGAUACUCUUAGACUUAUGACACCAAGUUUUGGAAUGUUCUCGUUGUUGUCCUUUAUUUUGUAUUUAUUUAUGGCCUGACUUUCCUUUGUGA